UUUUAAACAAAGAUGUUUUCCUCAUAUUAUUAAAGAGGAUUUUUCUCAGAGAAAUAUUAAAAAGUAAAUUAGUUGAUAUUUAAAUGACUACCUUAGUUGAUGUGCUUUCCACCAAAAGCCUGAACCAUAAGAUGUGUGUACGGUGUAGCAGGCAUAACAACUGCAUCCCGUCUCCCAGCACUAGGAUAGCAAGUCCCCGUCGCCCCACCAAGCAAUUCAAUGGCCACAUGGCUUGAAGAAACAAUUCUCAGAUCCGAAGGUGCUCUUCCCUGAAAAAUUAGGCAUGAAGAGAAGGGAAAUUUAAUGACAUCCAUUAAAAUAACUCAAUGCCCCACAGAUAAAAUGUCAAUCUGGCAAUAAUUCCUCUUCUGGUUGCGGCUCAGCUUCCUUAUGGUGCUCUCACACCCAUAAAACACCAAGCCCAGAUGAAGGCUGCACUGGCUGCUGUUUGACUUGGCAGAUUUAGAGGCAGAGACCACAGUUGCUGGGGUAGCAGCAGACAGAAUUGGCUGGUCAUAGCUGAGUCAAAAGCUAAAGAUCUUGUCUGUAUCCUAGUGAUACAAUUAGACAAGAAUAAUGAAGGAAGGAAGAAAAGUCCCAGGAGAAAAGAGGCUGUAGUUUUGUACAUUCUCCUCAUAAAAUCACAUUUAUUGAUCAUGCAAAGUAGCAAGGGAGAUUCUUAGGCCAUUUCAUGGCAAACUAGGAGACAGAAGAAAGACUGCAGAUCUUAUCAGACUUACAGAGGCAGGUUUCUCCUGAGACAGCUUUACUUUCCAUUGUGGAAAUAUAUCGGCUAAAGGAGUCACUCAUUGGUACCUUAGCAAGAUGAAAGGUCUCAGGUCCAUCACCUACAGUUCUGCUUGGCAAAGCAGAGUUCCCUUUGCUGCCCUCUGUUACGGAUUGAAUUAUGUCCCCUCAAAAAGAUGUGUCAAAGACCUAAGCCCCAGUGCCUGUGAAUGUGACUUCUUUGCAGUUGUCAUAAAGUUAAGAAUAGAACCAUUAAAAUGGGCCUUAAUGUAACAUGACCAAUGUCCUUCUAAGAAGAACAUGUGGACACACACAUAUACACACGCAGGAGAAUACCGUGUGAAGACACAGGUACACAGGGAAGAUAGCAUGUGGGGUCCAGGUGGAGAUUGAAGUGAACAAUCUGUGGCUACUGGAAGAUGAAAAGGCAAGAAAAGAUCCUCUCCUGGAGGCUUCAGAGGAAGCAUGGCCCUGACAACACCUCAACUUUGGACUUCUGGCCUCCAGAACUUUGAGUUGAUAAUUAUUGUUGUUGCUGUUGUCAUGGCAGCACAGUUAUGGGAGCACAUUUUUGAACACAGGCUCCCACCUUCAACUUAUCACUUCCUUACCUUUGCUGGGGUACCUGAUGACUUUAAAGAGACUGUUUCUUUGGAGAAGGUGGAAUACGCUUAAAGAUUGGAAUGGAUACAACCAAACCACCAUAAAAGCCUUAUGUGGAACAUGGCAGACCUCUCUCAAUCAAAAUCCCGAUACGACCACAGGGAAUGACCGCCCUCAUGGGCCAGCUUUGGACUGUCAUGUGAAUGACAAGUAAAGUCUUACUGUGAUUAAGCAUUGUACAGUUUGGAGUCUGCUGGAUAGAGUAUCCAGCAACACCCUAGCCAAUGCAGUAUUUGAUGCCUUAAACUUCACAUGCCUUUAUAUCGUUACACAUUUUACUUCCUAUCUUUUAUAACUGAUUCAGUGUGUUGUACAUGUGUGGAUGGAUAUUCAAUUAAUAUGUGACACAUUGAUUAUCAGCUCAAAUGUGGCAGAUGGAGAUGGAUCCUUCUUGACCUCUCAUUGAUUCUUUUUAGUCAAUUGAAAUUGCAUUAUCCCUGAAUAUUCUUCUUUUCAUAAAUUUGCUAUGUAUUUGAAAUGUCAAAUCUUAAAUCUUCUUUGGCUCACCUUAAUGCUUUCUUUUCAUGUGAACAACAGCUAUGUUCCAAGAGUCAAGAAAUCUCAAUAUGAAUAAAGCCAGGGCAUGGACUCCCCAUGUUUGUCUUGUCCCCUGUCUAUUUUACUUGUUCAGGUUCCUUUUAUCUAGCAGAGGUAGGGAUAUCCAUACCACAGUGAAGCU
rnacentral:lncRNA from 10 species